rnacentral:rRNA from 1 species
UACAGAGGUGCCGAGCGUUAGGCGGAAUCACUGGGCUUAAAGCGUGCGUAGGCGGGCGUCUAAGUGUCUUGUGAAAUCCCACGGCUCAACCGUGGAACUGUUGGGCAUACUGGACGCCUUGAGUCACACAGGGGCGAGCGGAACAAGUGGUGGAGCGGUGAAAUGCGUAGAUAUCACUUGGAACGCCGACGGUGAAAACAGCUCGCUGGGUGUGCACUGACGCUGAGGCACGAAAGCCAGGGGAGCGAACGGG